rnacentral:rRNA from 1 species
AUUGAACGCUAGCGGCAUGCCUUACACAUGCAAGUCGAACGGAGCGGCGAACGGGUGAGUAAUGUAUCGGAACGUGCCUAGUAGUGGGGGAUAACUACGCGAAAGCGUAGCUAAUACCGCAUACUAUCGGAGUGGCCUAUGUCGGAUUAGCUAGUUGGUGGGGUAACGGCUUACCAAGGCGACGAUCCGUAGCUGGUUUGAGAGGAUGAUCAGCCACACUGGGACUGAGACACGGCCCAGACUCCUACGGGAGGCAGCAGUGGGGAAUAUUGGACAAUGGGGGAAAGCCUGAUCCAGCCAUGCCGCGUGUGCGAAGAAGGCCUUCGGGUUGUAAAGCACUUUAAGCAGGGAGGCGGUACCUGCAGAAUAAGCACCGGCUAACUACGUGCCAGCAGCCGCGGUAAUAC